GGGGGAAUAGCUCAGUGACAGAGCAUCAGCCUUGCAUGCAGAAGGUUCCAGGUUUAAUUCCUAGCAUCUCCA